rnacentral:rRNA from 1 species
GACGAACGCUGGCGGCGUGCUUAACACAUGCAAGUCGAGCGGUAAGGCCUCUUCGGGGGUACACGAGCGGCGAACGGGUGAGUAACACGUGAGUAAUCUGCCCUUCACUUCGGGAUAAGCUUCGGAAACGGGGUCUAAUACCGGAUACGACACUUUAAGGCAGCUGAUGAGUGUGGAAAGUUUUUUCGGUGGGGGAUGUGCUCGCGGCCUAUCAGCUUGUUGGUGGGGUAAUGGCCUACCAAGGCUUCGACGGGUAGCCGGCCUGAGAGGGUGACCGGCCACACUGGGACUGAGACACGGCCCAGACUCCUACGGGAGGCAGCAGUGGGGAAUAUUGGACAAUGGGCGGAAGCCUGAUCCAGCAACGCCGCGUGAGGGAUGACGGCCUUCGGGUUGUAAACCUCUUUCAGCACAGACGAAGCGCAAGUGACGGUAUGUGCAGAAGAAGGACCGGCUAACUACGUGCCAGCAGCCGCCGUAAAAC